rnacentral:misc_RNA from 1 species
GAAAUGCGAUAAGUAAUGUGAAUUGCAGAAUUCAGUGAAUCAUCGAAUCUUUGAACGCACCUUGCGCUCCUUGGUAUUCCUUGGAGCAUGCCUGUUUGAGUAUCAUGAAAUCUUCAAAGUAAAUCUUUUGUUAACUCAAUUGGUUUCUACUUUGGUAUUGGAGGUCUUUGCAGCUACACACCUGCUCCUCUUUGUUCAUAGCUGGAUCUCAGUGUUAUGCUUGGUUCCACUCGGCGUGAUAAGUUAUCUAUCGCUGAGGACACUGUAAAAGGUGGCCAAGGUAAAUGCAGAUGAACCGCUUCUAAUAGUCCAUUGACUUGGACAAUACUUUUAUGAUCUGAUCUCAAAUCAGGUAGGACUACCCGCUGAACUUAAGC